rnacentral:rRNA from 1 species
GACAGAGGCCUCGAGCGUUAGGCGGAAUCACUGGGCUUAAAGCGUGUGUAGGUGGAUGCCUCAGUGCCUUGUGAAAUCCCACGGCUCAACCGUGGAACGGCUUGGCAUACUGGGCGUCUUGAGCCAGCUAGGGGCGACUGGAACAAACGGUGGAGCGGUGAAAUGCGUAGAUAUCGUUUGGAACGCCAACGGUGAAAACAGGUCGCUGGGGCUGUGCUGACACUGAGACACGAAAGCCAGGGGAGCAAACGGG